rnacentral:rRNA from 1 species
GACGAACGCUGGCGGCGUGCUUAACACAUGCAAGUCGAACGGAAAGGCCCUGCUUUUGUGGGGUGCUCGAGUGGCGAACGGGUGAGUAACACGUGAGUAACCUGCCCUUGACUUUGGGAUGACUUCAGGAAACUGGGGCUAAUACCGGAUAGGAGCUCCUGCUGCAUGGUGGGGGUUGGAAAGUUUCGGCGGUUGGGGAUGGACUCGCGGCUUAUCAGCUUGUUGGUGGGGUAGUGGCUUACCAAGGCUUUGACGGGUAGCCGGCCUGAGAGGGUGACCGGCCACAUUGGGACUGAGAUACGGCCCAGACUCCUACGGGAGGCAGCAGUGGGGAAUAUUGCACAAUGGGCGGAAGCCUGAUGCAGCAACGCCGCGUGCGGGAUGACGGCCUUCGGGUUGUAAACCGCUUUCGCCUGUGACGAAGCGUGAGUGACGGUAAUGGGUAAAGAAGCACCGGCUAACUACGUGCCAGCAGCCGCGGUGAUACGUAGGGUGCGAGCGUUGUCCGGAUUUAUUGGGCGUAAAGGGCUCGUAGGUGGUUGAUCGCGUCGGAAGUGUAAUCUUGGGGCUUAACCCUGAGCGUGCUUUCGAUACGGGUUGACUUGAGGAAGGUAGGGGAGAAUGGAAUUCCUGGUGGAGCGGUGGAAUGCGCAGAUAUCAGGAGGAACACCAGUGGCGAAGGCGGCUCUCUGGGCCUUUCCUGACGCUGAGGAGCGAAAGCGUGGGGAGCGAACAGGCUUAGAUACCCUGGUAGUCCACGCUGUAAACGGUGGGUACUAGGUGUGGGGUCCAUUCCACGGGUUCCGUGCCGUAGCUAACGCUUUAAGUACCCCGCCUGGGGAGUACGGCCGCAAGGCUAAAACUCAAAGGAAUUGACGGGGCCCCGCACAAGCGGCGGAGCAUGCGGAUUAAUUCGAUGCAACGCGUAGAACCUUACCUGGGUUUGACAUGGAUCGGGAGUGCUCAGAGAUGGGUGUGCCUCUUUUGGGGUCGGUUCACAGGUGGUGCAUGGCUGUCGUCAGCUCGUGUCGUGAGAUGUUGGGUUAAGUCCCGCAACGAGCGCAACCCUUGUUCACUGUUGCCAGCACGUUAUGGUGGGGACUCAGUGGAGACCGCCGGGGUCAACUCGGAGGAAGGUGGGGAUGACGUCAAGUCAUCAUGCCCCUUAUGUCCAGGGCUUCACGCAUGCUACAAUGGCUGGUACAGAGAGUGGCGAGCCUGUGAGGGUGAGCGAAUCUCGGAAAGCCGGUCUCAGUUCGGAUUGGGGUCUGCAACUCGACCUCAUGAAGUCGGAGUCGCUAGUAAUCGCAGAUCAGCAACGCUGCGGUGAAUACGUUCCCGGG